rnacentral:rRNA from 1 species
ACGAACGCUGGCGGCGUGCUUAACACAUGCAAGUCGAACGAAGAGCGAUGGAAGCUUGCUUCUAUCAAUCUUAGUGGCGAACGGGUGAGUAACGCGUAAUCAACCUGCCCUUCAGAGGGGGACAACAGUUGGAAACGACUGCUAAUACCGCAUACGAUCUAAUCUCGGCAUCGAGGAUAGAUGAAAGGUGGCCUCUACAUGUAAGCUAUCACUGAAGGAGGGGAUUGCGUCUGAUUAGCUAGUUGGAGGGGUAACGGCCCACCAAGGCGAUGAUCAGUAGCCGGUCUGAGAGGAUGAACGGCCGCAUUGGGACUGAGACACGGCCCAGACUCCUACGGGAGGCAGCAGUGGGGAAUCUUCCGCAAUGGACGAAAGUCUGACGGAGCAACGCCGCGUGAGUGAUGACGGCCUUCGGGUUGUAAAGCUCUGUUAAUCGGGACGAAAGGCCUUCUUGCGAAUAGUGAGAAGGAUUGACGGUACCGGAAUAGAAAGCCACGGCUAACUACGUG